AUUAUCUCCAUAGAUUCCAAAAACUAUCUAAUAUCAGUACAUUGAGAAUAUGAGGUUUAUUCUUAUUUUUCACAUGCAAAGGAGAAAAAACUAUGACUGAAUUUCUCAAGUUUGUUGGUGUUACCAUUCUCUUACUUUCUCUGGUUUUUGUUAUAACCUAUGGAAUAAGUUACUGUGAUUCUGAUGGCGAAUGUAUCUUUGAUUGUAACUCUCCUAAAUAUGGAGUGUGCAUUGAGAAUCAAUGUUUCUGUAUGAAAUUAAGUUGAAAAGUGAUUUAUUCUUUUUAAACUUAUAAUUUUAUUUUUACAUGAUAAUGUUGUUACUCAUGUGAUUUCUGUUGUAAUACAUUGAUUCUGUGAAAAAUAAACUAUUAUAUUUAGUUAAUAAAAACUAACAUCAAAAACAUGUCUUUAUAUUGAUACAAAAGUAGCUAAUAGCACAUAUAGUACCAAAUAAAAAUCACUGAUGAAUAACUAGCACGUUUUAGAUCCGUAUAUGCUUAUGGUUUGCAGGAAAAUCGCCAAUAUUGGAGCAUAUAUAGUAACUCAAUCUUAUCAUUCGUGAUUAGCAUGUGUGGCAAAUCAGCAUUAACAGCAUUACAAAAACCAGAGGAUGUGUAGUAUUUUGAUGCAAAUCAAACAGUUAACAAGGAACUGACUAGCAGCACGAUUGACAAGGGUACAUGUAAAUAACAGUUAAGCAUUACACUGCAUUAUCAAUUCUGCAGAAAUGGCUGCCUGGAAUCAGCUAGCACGCUCCAGGAGCGAGUAAGUGGGUCAUGGCUAGAUAUAUUGGUCAUAGGGCGGCUUCCAGAAUGUUGAAGGUUGUCGACAUAGGGGCGUCAACAACGAGAUAUCUCACCUUAAUCAUCUUGGCAUCUUGAAGGGUGAGACCUACCUCAUGAGUGUUGUUGAUGGGAGGAAUUAAGACCACUCACGCAACACUUUUUUGCGUCCCUAUCCUUCUUUUCCGCAUUUCUUUCCUUGCCUUUUAUGUAGCAUUCAACUUGCACCAUAAUUUCUUCAAUGGAAACAGUGGACUUCUGGGAGAGAGACUCAUUGAAAUGUCUAACUUUCAAUCCGUUCUAGAAAGCUUCCACGAACAUAAGGUAUAAUUUUGAGGUUGCAGCUGAAGAGCGGCUACACAUGACGGAUCAUAAGGUAUAAUUUUGUUAUGACAUUUUGCGGUCAUUCUCUGAAUAAAAAUGGUACGGCUCGGUAAAACAUGUCAUCUUGGUGGGACGGAAUAGAUUUUUAAGCCCAAUUUCAUUUAUCGGACUUGCCUGUCCCACCUCUUUUUUACCGGACUUAAGGCAGAGCAGGGCAGGACGAACAACACAGUUUAUCAUCCCUAUCCGUAAAGAUAGACAUCAAGAUUUAGAAAAAUACAUAAUUAGUAAGGGUGAUAUCAUAUUGGAAUAGCUGUGGUUUAAUAGAUGAGUUGUUUUUAAACACUAAGCUAGAAGAAAAGAAAUAAAUACUUAUUAGUCAAAAGUUUCGAUAUUAAAAUGGUUCCUGAAGCUGGUUCGUAAUCGGUUAGUUCUUUGAAAGCUAGAGGUGCUAUUGCUCAUAAAUCUUCUGCAUCAUGCAAUACUCCGGUGGACAAUAUUUAAGUCUCCGGUAACAUGAUUCCAUAAUGCAAUAUCUGAACGAUACUGGUAGUAGAUACAUAUAGUGCCAUCAGAAUAAGAAACUAAUGUAGAAGGACAAGGAGUGCCAUAGGGGUCUGGUUGAAAAGGAUGUGGCCAGUUAAGUUGCAUUUUAAUCUCAAAUCUCUCAAGUGACAACACAUACGAUUUCCAUUGCCAGUUGGUACUAUCAAAACGGUUAUUGAGGAGACACUUUUCUUCAUCUUCAAGUGAUUGAUAUUUGGAAACCAUACUUUUGUAAAACAUGUUUAUGAAAAUAGGGUUUUCAAACAAAAGAGCCCAAGAUUUGUGUACACAACCGACUCACAGAUUUUAAUGGUAGUUUUGACAAAAUAGAGAAGACGAUGUCAUCAGGAACAUAGGUACUAACCUUUUGGUUUCUUGAACACAUGUUUUUGUGAAUGUUUUAUGGAAAAGUUUUAG